GACGAACGCUGGCGGCGUGCUUAACACAUGCAAGUCGAACGGUGAAGGGACUGGUUUUGCUGGUCCUGGAUGAGUGGCGAACGGGUGAGUAACACGUGAGUAACCUGCCCCCUUCUUCUGGAUAACCGCAUGAAAGUGUGGCUAAUACGGGAUAUUCUGGGUCUGUCGCAUGGUGGGCCUGGGAAAGAUUGCGCCUUUUUUGGUGUUUUUGGUGGGGGAUGGGAUCGCGGCCUGUCAGCUUGUUGGUGGGGUGAUGGCCUACCAAGGCGGUGGCGGGUAGCCGGCCAGAGAGGGUAGACGGACAUGGUGGGAGAGAGAGACGGGCCAGACUGGGACGGGGGCAAGCAGUGGAGAAUUACGCACAGCGGGAGUAAGCAUGAUGCAGCGACGCGCGGUGGGCGAUGGAGGCCUUGGGGUUGUGAAGCUCUUGCGCUUGUGAAGCAGGAGUGCCUCUUCUUGUGGUGGGGUUGACGGUAGCUGGAUAAGAAGCGCCGGCUAACUACGUG
rnacentral:rRNA from 1 species